UAGAAAUCUGAUACGCCUGUGGACUCCU
rnacentral:piRNA from 1 species